rnacentral:misc_RNA from 1 species
GAUGAAGAACGCAGCGAAAUGCGAUAAGUAAUGUGAAUUGCAGAAUUCAGUGAAUCAUCGAAUCUUUGAACGCACCUUGCGCCCUUUGGCUAUUCCGAAGGGCAUGCCUGUUUGAGUAUCAUGAACACCUCAACCCUCAUGGUUUGCCAUGAUGGGCUUGGACUUUGGGGGUCUUGCUGGAUUGUAGUCAGCUCCCCUUAAAUGAAUCAGCUUGCCAGUGUUUGGUGGCAUCACAGGUGUGAUAAAUAUCUACGCUUGUGGUUUUACAUCAGAUAACCGUCAGUGAUGGAGGUUCACUGGAGCUCAUAAAGGUGUCUCUCCUCUGUGAGGACAGCUCUUUGAAUGUUUGAUCUCAAAUCAGGCAGGACUACCCGCUGAACUUAAGCAUAUCAAUAAGCGGAGGA